AUUGAACGCUGGCGGCAUGCUUUACACAUGCAAGUCGAACGGUAACAGGGUGCUUGCACCGCUGACGAGUGGCGAACGGGUGAGUAAUGCGUCGGAACGUGCCGAGUAGUGGGGGAUAACGCAGCGAAAGUUGUGCUAAUACCGCAUACGUACUGAGGUAGAAAGUGGGGGACCUUCGGGCCUCACGCUAUUCGAGCGGCCGACGUCUGAUUAGCUAGUAGGUGAGGUAAAGGCUCACCUAGGCGACGAUCAGUAGCGGGUCUGAGAGGAUGAGCCGCCACACUGGGACGGAGACACGGCCCAGACUCCUACGGGAGGCAGCAGCGGGGAAUUUUGGACAAUGGGCGAAAGCCUGAUCCAGCCAUGCCGCGUGUCUGAAGAAGGCCUUCGGGUUGUAAAGGACUUUUGUCGGGGAGGAAAUCCCCAGCGUUAAUACCGCUGGGGGAUGACAGUACCUGAAGAAUAAGCACCGGCUAACUACGUGCCAGCAGCCGCAGUAAUAC
rnacentral:rRNA from 1 species